rnacentral:rRNA from 1 species
AUUGAACGCUGGCGGCAUGCCUUACACGUGCAAGUCGAACGGCAGCACGGGUGCUUGCACCUGGUGGCGAGUGGCGAACGGGUGAGUAAUACAUCGGAACAUGUCCUGUAGUGGGGGAUAGCCCGGCGAAAGCCGGAUUAAUACCGCAUACGAUCUACGGAUGAAAGCGGGGGACCUUCGGGCCUCGCGCUAUAGGGUUGGCCGAUGGCUGAUUAGCUAGUUGGUGGGGUAAAGGCCUACCAAGGCGACGAUCAGUAGCUGGUCUGAGAGGACGACCAGCCACACUGGGACUGAGACACGGCCCAGACUCCUACGGGAGGCAGCAGUGGGGAAUUUUGGACAAUGGGCGAAAGCCUGAUCCAGCAAUGCCGCGUGUGUGAAGAAGGCCUUCGGGUUGUAAAGCACUUUUGUCCGGAAAGAAAUCCUUGGCUCUAAUACAGUCGGGGGAUGACGGUACCGGAAGAAUAAGCACCGGCUAACUACGUG